GACGAACGCUGGCGGCGUGCCUAAUACAUGCAAGUAGAACGCACAGUUUAUACCGUAGCUUGCUACACCAUAGACUGUGAGUUGCGAACGGGUGAGUAACGCGUAGGUAACCUGCCUGGUAGCGGGGGAUAACUAUUGGAAACGAUAGCUAAUACCGCAUAAUAUUAAUUAUUGCAUGAUAAUUAAUUGAAAGGUGCAAUUGCACCACUACCAGAUGGACCUGCGUUGUAUUAGCUAGUAGGUGAGGUAACGGCUCACCUAGGCGACGAUACAUAGCCGACCUGGGAGGGGAAUCGGCAACACUGGAACUGGACCACGGCCCGGACUCCUACGGGAGGCAGAGUAGGGGAACCUUCGGCAAGGAAGGAAAGUUUAACCGGGCAACGCGGCGUGAGGGAAGAGGGUUUUCGGUUCGUAAAGCUCUGUUGUAGAGAAGAACGGGUGUGAGAGUGGAAAGUUCACACUGUGACGGUAUCUUACCAGAAAGGGACGGCUAACUACGUG
rnacentral:rRNA from 1 species